GUGGUCACAUGCAAUAAAUUUUAUAUAUGCCAUAUGUUGAUCCGUAGCGCAUCCAUAUUUACGAACAUUUAAGAUUUCGUCAUACGUUUCAUUUCAGUGUAUAUCUUUCAGCUGUCAACGCAGCCCGCGUGCUGUUUAUUUGUUUACAAUCAAGUUGCAUAACCAAAAAAUUAACAAGCAACGGCUGCACACAAAUUUGUUUAUUUAAAAUUUAAAGAAUUUGAUUUAAAUUAAAUUUAAUUUUAACGCACUGCACCGAAAGAACAAAGUGGAAGUCAGAUGACAUAAACAAAAUCAACUCAAUAAAGGAACGGUUGAGUUCGACUCGUACAUCUUCUUGCCUUUCGUGAAAGCCACGGCUGUCAUGCAUCGGUAGCAGUUGCCUUUCUUGUGCUGCAGCCACGUCCGAAGCAGAUUCUUCACGCCCACGUCUCUUUAAGCUCCCCAUAAAAUAGAUUCAACUCAAUACGUGCCUCCUGCGAGUAAUGUCUUCCACCCGGCAUCGAUCCUGAAUCAUACCGGUCCUUCUCCCGUUCAUCCCUUCUGGAUCAGAUGCUACUCCCACCAUCGCCUUUCGUCUGAUAACGCUCCUGAUGGCCACUGCGAGGAUGAAUCCGCUUGCUGUAGUAAUCGGCCGACGACGCCUGAUGAGCCUGCCACGCCUGUCCUGAACAUCGGAAACACAAUCGAGAAUUUGACAAACAGCGACUUUUCUGAAGGAACCAUAUUUGAACCCAAGACCCAAGAGAAGAAGACCGCAAUUACUUGUGCCCCGUUGUGAUUAAGCUACUCGCUACUCGGAAGAGACAAUAUUACUUCCGGAUUAUCAGUUCUCGUCGUCAAAAGCCAAAGCCGGCUUGUGGAAAUAAAUAACGCAGAACUCAUUGA